UACGUAGGGUGCAAGCGUUGUCCGGAAUUAUCGGGCGUAAAGAGCUCGUAGGCGGUCUGUUGCGUCGGCUGUGAAAACCCGGGGCUCAACUCCGGGCCUGCAGCCGAUACGGGCAGACUAGAGUUCGGCAGGGGAGACUGGAAUUCCUGGUGUAGCGGUGAAAUGCGCAGAUAUCAGGAGGAACACCGGUGGCGAAGGCGGGUCUCUGGGCCGAUACUGACGCUGAGGAGCGAAAGCGUGGGGAGCAAACAGG
rnacentral:rRNA from 1 species